rnacentral:tRNA from 1 species
GCGGAAGUGGCGGAAUUGGUAGACGCACCAGCCUUAGGAGCUGGCGGAGUAAUCCGUGGGGGUUCGAGUCCCCCCUUUCGCA